UGGGGAAUAUUGGACAAUGGGCGCAAGCCUGAUCCAGCCAUGCCGCGUGUGUGAAGAAGGCCUUUUGGUUGUAAAGCACUUUAAGCGAGGAGGAGGCUACUUGGAUUAAUACUCUAGGAUAGUGGACGUUACUCGCAGAAUAAGCACCGGCUAACUCUGUGCCAGCAGCCGCGGUAAUACAGAGGGUGCGAGCGUUAAUCGGAUUUACUGGGCGUAAAGCGUGCGUAGGCGGCUUCUUAAGUCGGAUGUGAAAUCCCUGAGCUUAACUUAGGAAUUGCAUUCGAUACUGGGAAGCUAGAGUAUGGGAGAGGAUGGUAGAAUUCCAGGUGUAGCGGUGAAAUGCGUAGAGAUCUGGGGGAAUACCGAUGGCGAAGGCAGCCAUCUGGCCUAAUACUGACGCUGAGGUACGAAAGCAUGGGGAGCAAACAGG
rnacentral:rRNA from 1 species